ACUUGCGCACUAGAUGUGUUUGGUGCUUCUAGUUAUCUAACAGUGCCGCCAUUUUGAGAGAGAAGCUCCAAGUUCUCAUCUUGAUUGAGUUGUUCCAAUCUUGAGAGAUAUGAAGCAACCCAGAUAAUUAUUCAAAGAUACCCUGGCUUCGGAAUCCCGCCACUGUUUUUUUUUCAUUCAUCAAAGAAAUCAAGCAAUCAAGAAAGCUGAUAUAAGAAUCGAGUACAUGAUAUGUAUACGCUGUCAAUGAGUGCAUUAGAAAGCUCCACACUUUACUCUCUUUCACAGACUUGACUACAUUUCCUGAACUGCCCCACUUUACAAAGAUUCUGGUAUAAAGACAACACGAACAUAAUUGGCAUGUCUUCGUGGAUUCGAUCACUUUCAGCUCAGAAGAGGAAGUUUGGUUAUGGUCUCCUUUGCAAUCCAACUAAGAGUUCCACUAAAUCAGGCCCACAGUUAAAAAGGCACAGAGACCUGUCUAGCAUAUGGUCGUUUUCUACCAGUUCCUCGUUCAAUUGCAUAGGAGUACCGUCUUUGAGAUGGGCCCAAAGUAGGCGAGUCUCAAUCAUACAUCCUUGCAUUGUUCAGGCUACAGCAGAACUCUGCACGCUAGCUGAUGUUGAACAGUCUUAUACUGAUUCUUGCAGUGAUGCAAGUGCUCCUUUGGAGGGGUCCCAUAUUGAUUCUGAUGGUCAUGUUGCAACCAAGGAAGCUAGAGUCAAGUAUGAAAAGCCAGUAGAUUUCACCAAAGUGAAAAAGAAUCUGCUUCCAACUGUUAUUCUUGUUGGGCGCCCAAAUGUGGGGAAGUCAGCUUUGUUUAAUCGUUUGAUCCGGAGGCGGGAGGCUCUUGUAUACAACACACCAGAUGAUCAUGUUACUCGUGACUUCAGAGAUGGCAUUGCUAAAUUGGGUGAUCUACGAUUCAGAGUAUUGGACUCAGCCGGCUUGGAAACAGCAGCUUCUUCGGGUUCUAUUCUUGACAGAACAGCGGGGAUGACUGCAAAUAUUUUGGCAAGAUCUCAAUUUGCUGUCUUCCUUAUAGAUGUGAGAGCUGGACUGCACCCACUUGAUAUGGAGGUUGGAAGGUGGUUGCGCAAGAAUGCCCCAGGAAUCAAUAUUGUAGUUGCAAUGAAUAAAUCAGAGUCUCUUUUUGAUGGUAGUGGCUCUCUUGCUGCUGCUGCUGCUGAAGCUUACAGGUUGGGAUGGGGUGAUCCUAUUGCCAUUUCAGCUGAAACUGGACUUGGUAUGCAAGAUCUUUAUUCAAGCCUAAAGCCUAUGCUUGAGGAUUAUAUGCUCAAUGUCUUAAACAAUGAGGAAAACACUGAUGAGGGCAAUUUCAGUGACGACAGCUCCUCUGAGGUUGAGGAUAGUAAGCUGCCGUUACAGUUAGCAAUUGUGGGGAAACCCAAUGUUGGCAAGUCAACCCUGCUGAACACAUUGUUACAACAAGAACGUGUGCUGGUAGGUCCGGAGGCUGGUUUGACAAGAGAUUCUAUUAGAGCUGAGUUUGAAUUUAAAGGGAGAACUAUAUACCUGGUCGAUACUGCAGGCUGGUUGCAGAGAACAAAGAUGGAGAAAGGACCAUCAUCCUUGAGCAUUGUGCAGUCAAGAAAGAGUCUCAUGAGAGCUCAUGUAAUUGCUCUGGUCCUGGAUGCCGAAGAGAUCUCAAAGGCUAGAAGAAGUAUGAAGCAUGAUGAAGUAGUUAUAGCUAGACAGGCUAUUGAAGAAGGGCGUGGUUUAGUGGUGAUUGUGAACAAGAUGGAUCUGUUGAAAGAACAAGAAGUUUGUGACAAGGUUAUGGAAGCUGUACCUCAAGAAAUUCAGACGGUUUUACCCCAGGUGACGGGAAUACCAGUAGUGUUCAUAUCAGCACUGGAGGGAAGGGGUCAGGCAGCUGUCAUGCACCAGGUUAUUGAAACAUAUGAAAAAUGGUGUACAAGGUUGUCCACAGCUCGUCUUAACCGUUGGUUGCGCAAGGUUAUGAGUAGGCAUUCCUGGAAAGAUCAGUCUGCUCAACCCAAGGUUAAGUACUUCACACAGGUGAAAGCAAGACCGCCCACUUUUGUGGCCUUUGUUAGUGGGAGGAAAGAGCUCUCUGAUACAGACGUCAGGUUUUUGAAAAGGUCUUUGAAGGAAGACUUUGAUUUGGGGGGAAUUCCAAUCAGGAUCAUGCAGAGGAUUGUCCAUCGGAAGGCUGCCGAUGGCACUAACAAGAGCAGCCAAUUUACUAAUAGAAUGCCUGAUAGGAUCUUCUCUGACAAGAGAACAGUAUCCGGUUGAAUUACCAGUUCUCAGUAAGUUCAACUCAUCAACAACUGAAGUUGUGUAAUUGUUUCAAGAAAUAGUAGAUUUCAUCACCUAAAAUGAUUAUGUUGAAGAACUGAUUAAUGUAGUAUUAUAGGUUCAAUGGGAUAAACAUGCAUGAAGAAGUAAGCAAACUAAAAAGUCAGUAGGUACGUUUGCCCCAAAACCAAUGGUCAUUUUCUAGAUUCUGGUCUGGCUGUGACUUUAGAACAGUAAUGUCUAGUAGAAAUGAUAGACGCAACUGUGACUGGAAAGUCUUAUUCUUGUCUCAAACUCUCAGUCUCUCACUAUAGAGGAAAAUCCAUGAUCAUAAGCUGUUGUUUGGUCUAAACGUUGUCAUUUAUUUGGAUUUUUAUUAGUACUGGUUCUUCAUCUGUCUCCAUAUGUUGUUCAGUAGUUUCGGAUACAAGUUUUCAUUUAUUCAUAUAUUGUCCUUCUCUUUUCCUUUCCUAAUUGCAUUUUGUGAUCUGCCAGAGAGAUGUUAGAUAUUUUGCUUCUGGUGCUUUUGGGGCUGUCAAAGUCUCAAAGCUACAAAUCUGCUCUAGGGUUGGUCUUUGUAGGAUAGUUCUCGACUUUCAGGUUUGUUCAAUUUAAAGUUUUGGGCAGUGUAUCAUAGCAAAGCUGCUACAGCGGUACUUGAGUAUGACACAACAGUUGAAUCAAGAAUACUAAGAAUGAUUUUAUCUACUCUUCAGUUUAGGAUUUGAUUUUCUUGAGACUCAUCUUAUCGUUGAUGAAGUAGAGUCUUCAAUUUGUUUAUCUUAUUGAUGAUGAAGUAGAGAGUAAGGCAUCGGAUUUAUUCAGGUAGUCCUUCAAGGUCUAAGGCUCAACAUGGUGCCUUCCCCACUUGGUCAUUAGUAUGAAAGUUGCAUUACAUAAUGCAUCAUCUUAUACUCAGUCCUAGGUAGUACAGAUUCCAUUUAGUGUUGUUUUACGAGAAAUGCACUUGGAUUAAGAUAAUGAAAUCUCACUACAAUUUCAGUGAGCACAUAAUUCGUUUUGUCAUGCUGAAUAGUUAGUCAUUUCUCAGCCUUCCCGAGUUGAAUUAUUUCUCUUGGGCAUCUACAACAAUUGUUUUUGGGUUUCCUGUGUUUCAUAUAUUAGCAUCUGAGUAAGUAUCAGUCAGCAUAGUCAAAGUGAAAGGUUUUGAGUUUUUGAACAGAUGUUCAAAUGUAUCUGAAACAGAAACCCAGCUUUAUCUGUUUAGUAGAUCUGAGCUGGUAGAGGAAAAAGAAUGGGUGCUGGAACUAAAAUCGUUCAGCUGGAGGUAUGCGAUGAGGAAAAAGGUGGAGUUAUUUUGCCGGAAACUGAUUGAAGCAUGGUCUAUUUGGUCAAGGGAGCUGCAUUGUAUCAGAGAAUAGUUCCGAGACACUUGGACGUACUAGUGAGAAUGCAAGGUUUUCCCUUACAAUCUUAAUUGAUGGAAACUGUACUUUGAGAACUUCUUGAACAUUAUUGGUAUGUG